UACGGGGGGGGCAAGCGUUGUUCGGAAUUACUGGGCGUAAAGGGCUUGUAGGUGGCCAACUAAGUCAGACGUGAAAUCCCUCGGCUUAACCGGGGAACUGCGUCUGAUACUGGAUGGCUCGAGUGUGGGAGAGGGAUGCGGAAUUCCAGGUGUAGCGGUGAAAUGCGUAGAUAUCAGGAGGAACACCGGUGGCGAAGGCGGGUCUCUGGGCCGAUACUGACGCUGAGGAGCGAAAGCGUGGGGAGCGAACAGG
rnacentral:rRNA from 1 species